UUAAGUGAAUAAGGGCGCACGGUGGAUGCCUUGGCACUAGGAGCCGAUGAAGGACGGGACUAACACCGAUAUGCUUUGGGGAGCUGUACGUAAGCUAUGAUCCAGAGAUUUCCGAAUGGGGGAACCCAACAUCUUUAAUAGGAUGUUACGAUUGUGUGAAUACAUAGCACAUUCGAGGUAGACGCAGAGAACUGAAACAUCUAAGUACCUGCAGGAAGAGAAAGAAAAUUCGAUUCCCUGAGUAGCGGCGAGCGAAACGGGAAAAGCCCAAACCAGCAAGCUUGCUUGUUGGGGUUGUAGGACUCCAAUAUGGUAGUUCUUUCAGAUAGUCGAAUGACUUGGAAAAGUCAGUCAAAGAGGGUAAAAACCCCGUAGACGAAAUGUGGAAGACACCUAGGAGGAUCCUGAGUACGGCGGAACACGAGAAAUUCCGUCGGAAUCCGGGAGGACCAUCUCCCAAGGCUAAAUACUCCCUAGUGACCGAUAGUGAACCAGUACCGUGAGGGAAAGGUGAAAAGCACCCCGGAAGGGGAGUGAAAUAGAACCUGAAACCGUGUGCCUACAACAAGUCAAAGCCCGUUAAUGGGUGAUGGCGUGCCUUUUGUAGAAUGAACCGGCGAGUUACGAUUGCAUGCGAGGUUAAGUUGAAGAGACGGAGCCGCAGCGAAAGCGAGUCUGAAUAGGGCGUUUGAGUAUGUAGUCGUAGACCCGAAACCAUGUGAUCUACCCAUGUCCAGGUUGAAGGUGCGGUAAAACGCACUGGAGGACCGAACCCACGUACGUUGAAAAGUGCGGGGAUGAGGUGUGGGUAGCGGAGAAAUUCCAAACGAACUUGGAGAUAGCUGGUUCUCUCCGAAAUAGCUUUAGGGCUAGCCUCGGAAUUGAGAAUGAUGGAGGUAGAGCACUGUUUGGACUAGGGGCCCAUCUCGGGUUACCGAAUUCAGAUAAACUCCGAAUGCCAUUCAUUCAUAUCCGGGAGUCAGACUGUGAGUGAUAAGAUCCAUAGUCGAAAGGGAAACAGCCCAGACCACCAGCUAAGGUCCCAAAAUAUAUGUUAAGUGGAAAAGGAUGUGGGGUUGCACAGACAACUAGGAUGUUGGCUUAGAAGCAGCCACCAUUUAAAGAGUGCGUAAUAGCUCACUAGUCGAGUGACCCUGCGCCGAAAAUGUACCGGGGCUAAACAUAUUACCGAAGCUGUGGAGUACACCUUUAGGUGUAUUGGUAGGAGAGCGUUCUAAGGGCGUUGAAGGCAGAUCGUGAGGACUGCUGGAGCGCUUAGAAGUGAGAAUGCCGGUAUGAGUAGCGAAAGACAGGUGAGAAUCCUGUCCACCGAAUGACUAAGGUUUCCUGGGGAAGGCUCGUCCGCCCAGGGUUAGUCGGGACCUAAGCCGAGGCCGACAGGCGUAGGCGAUGGAUAACAGGUUGAUAUUCCUGUACCCGUUGUUUUUGUUUGAGCAAUGGAGGGACGCAGGAGGCUAAGGAAUGCAGACGAUCGGAAAUGUCUGUCCAAGCAGUAAGUCUGAAGAGGAGUCAAAUGCUUCUUUUCUUAAGGACAAGCUGUGAUGGGGAGGGAAAUAAUAGUACCGAAGUUCCUGAUGUCACACUGCCGAGAAAAGCUUCUAGUGAGAAAACAGCGGCCCGUACCGCAAACCGACACAGGUAGUCGAGGAGAGAAUCCUAAGGUGAGCGAGAGAACUCUCGUUAAGGAACUCGGCAAAAUGACCCCGUAACUUCGGGAGAAGGGGUGCUGAUCAUACGAUCAGCCGCAGUGAAUAGGCCCAAGCGACUGUUUAUCAAAAACACAGGUCUCUGCAAAAUCGUAAGAUGAAGUAUAGGGGCUGACGCCUGCCCGGUGCUGGAAGGUUAAGAGGAGUGCUUAGCGCAAGCGAAGGUACGAAUUGAAGCCCCAGUAAACGGCGGCCGUAACUAUAACGGUCCUAAGGUAGCGAAAUUCCUUGUCGGGUAAGUUCCGACCCGCACGAAAGGCGUAACGAUUUGGGCACUGUCUCAACGAGAGACUCGGUGAAAUUUUAGUACCUGUGAAGAUGCAGGUUACCCGCGACAGGACGGAAAGACCCCAUGGAGCUUUACUGUAGUUUGAUAUUGAGUGUCUGUACCGCAUGUACAGGAUAGGUAGGAGCCGUAGAAAUCGGAACGCUAGUUUCGAUGGAGGCGCUGGUGGGAUACUACCCCUGCGUUAUGGCCACUCUAACCCGCACCACUAAUCGUGGUGGGAGACAGUGUCAGAUGGGCAGUUUGACUGGGGCGGUCGCCUCCUAAAAGGUAACGGAGGCGCCCAAAGGUUCCCUCAGAAUGGUUGGAAAUCAUUCGAAGAGUGUAAAGGCAGAAGGGAGCUUGACUGCGAGACCAACAAGUCGAGCAGGGACGAAAGUCGGGCUUAGUGAUCCGGUGGUUCCGCAUGGAAGGGCCAUCGCUCAACGGAUAAAAGCUACCCUGGGGAUAACAGCGUAACGAUUUGGGCACUGUCUCAUCGACGGGGAGGUUUGGCACCUCGAUGUCGGCUCGUCGCAUCCUGGGGCUGUAGUCGGUCCCAAGGGUUGGGCUGUUCGCCCAUUAAAGCGGCACGCGAGCUGGGUUCAGAACGUCGUGAGACAGUUCAGUCCCUAUCCGUCGCGGGCGUUGGAAAUUUGAGAGGAGCUGUCCUUAGUACGAGAGGACCGGGAUGGACUUACCGCUGGUGUACCAGUUGUUCUGCCAAGGGCAUUGCUGGGUAGCUAUGUAGGGAAGGGAUAAACGCUGAAAGCAUCUAAGUGUGAAGCCCACCUCAAGAUGAGAUUUCCCAUUUCUUUAAGAAAGUAAGAUCCCUGAGAGAUGAUCAGGUAGAUAGGUCAGGAGUGGAAGUACAGUGAUGUAUGGAGCGGACUGAUACUAAUCGAUCGAGGACUUAACC
rnacentral:rRNA from 1 species